rnacentral:tRNA from 1 species
UGGGGUAUGGCCAAGCUGGUAAGGCAACGGGCUUUGAACCCGUAAUUCCUAGGUUCGAGUCCUAGUACCCCAG